CCUCCCAACCCCUGUGACAUACCACUUGUUGCCUCGGCGGAUCAGCCCGCUCCCGGUAAAACGGGACGGCCCGCCAGAGGACCCCUAAACUCUGUUUCUAUAUGUAACUUCUGAGUAAAACCAUAAAUAAAUCAAAACUUUCAACAACGGAUCUCUUGGUUCUGGCAUCGAUGAAGAACGCAGCAAAAUGCGAUAAGUAAUGUGAAUUGCAGAAUUCAGUGAAUCAUCGAAUCUUUGAACGCACAUUGCGCCCGCCAGUAUUCUGGCGGGCAUGCCUGUUCGAGCGUCAUUUCAACCCUCAAGCACAGCUUGGUGUUGGGACUCGCGUUAAUUCGCGUUCCCCAAAUUGAUUGGCGGUCACGUCGAGCUUCCAUAGCGUAGUAGUAAAACCCUCGUUACUGGUAAUCGUCGCGGCCACGCCGUUAAACCCCAACUUCUGAAUGUUGACCUCGGAUCAGGUAGGAAUACCCGCUGAACUUAAGCAUAUCAAUAAGCGGGGGAAAAAGAA
rnacentral:rRNA from 1 species